GGCCUACCAUGGUGGUAACGGGUAACGGGGUGUUAGGGCACGACACCGGAGAGGGAGCCUGAGAAACGGCUACCACAUCCAAGGAUGGCAGCAGGCGCGCAAAUUACCCAAUCCCGACACGGGGAGGUAGUGACAAUAAAUAACAAUACGGGGUUCUUUAGGAUCUCGUAAUUGGAAUGAGUACAAUUUAAAUCUCUUAACGAGGAACAAUUGGAGGGCAAGUCUGGUGCCAGCAGCCGCGGUAAUUCCAGCUCCAAUAGCGUAUAUUAAAGUUGUUGCAGUUAAAAAGCUCGUAGUUGAAUUUCGGGAUCAAUAUACCGGUCGUGCCUCAGGUAUGAACUGGUCUUAUUGGUUUCUCCCUUCUGACGAACCAUGAUGUCAUUAAUUUGAUGUCGUGGAGAAUCAGGACUGUUACUUUGAAAAAAUUAGAGUGUUUAAAGCAGGCUAACGCUUGAAUACAUUAGCAUGGAAUAAUGAAAUAGGACGUUCGACCCUAUUUUGUUGGUUUCUAGGAUCGACGUAAUGAUUAAUAGGGAUAGUUGGGGGCAUUAGUAUUCAAUUGUCAGAGGUGAAAUUCUUGGAUUUAUUGAAGACUAACUACUGCGAAAGCAUUUGCCAAGGAUGUUUUCAUUAAUCAAGAACGAAAGUUAGGGGAUCGAAGACGAUCAGAUACCGUCGUAGUCUUAACCAUAAACUAUGCCGACUAGGGAUCGGAUGAUGUCAAUUUUAUAAUGACUCAUUCGGCGCCUUACG
rnacentral:rRNA from 1 species